CUCUCUCUCUCUGUCGGUCUCUCAUGAAUAAAUAAAUGAAAUCGAAGGAAAGAAAGAGAAAGAAAAGAAAAGAAAAGAAAAGAGAAGAAAAGAAAAGAAAGAAAGAAAGAAAGAAAGAAACCGAGGUGUGAGCAGAACAGUAAGACAGAAAUCCAAAAAAAAAAAAAAAAAAAAGGCAGAAAUCCAACAGUUCUCUUCUGGAACCAUCAGCAUCCGAAUCCGGAAUCGAAAACUGCUCGGUCUGGGUCUCUGCAGGAGAAUCGCCAUCGCUGAUGAUGGUGCCAGCGAGAAGGGUUAGCGCCGCUCCAAAGAAGCUCGAGUCCGGAUUUCCCUCCUCGGCUUUCGGCUGGGGAGGUGAUGCCGGGGUCCGGGGAUCGAGUCCCGCAUCGGGCUCCCUCUGCCCGGGUCUCUGCCUCUCUCUGGGUAUCGCAUGAAUAAAUACAUAAAAUCUAAACACAAAACAAAAACCGUCACCAACAACCCCCUCCACACACACACACACACACACACCUUGUUCCAGGCCCAGGCUCCAAAGAUAGACAAAGGUGUUAGAGGUGGGUCUCCCUGAAGGGCCUCCAAGGUCCUUCCCGGAGCCAGGCCUCCAGCCGUCCGCACCAGGCCGAUUUUUCUCAGACCAGACACCCACCACCCAUAGGGAGUCAAAAUGAGAACUUCAGUCCUUUGUAUUAUUACCCUCCUGGAAAGAAUUCCUACAUUCAGGCAUACCCAGCGUUCAUGCUUUUAGACCGGUGAUCUUACUAUGGACGCUUAUUAAAAGGCCCCUGAUAAAUCAGAGGCCUGCGGGAGGUCCCCACCCCCUUACCUGGCCGAGUGGCACAGCAGAGAGCUGGGGGGGCCUCCGAUACCCGCACAGGCUGCAGAACCCAGAGCUUGGAGACCUGGUCUGGCUUGGAACAAGGGGUCGCUGCUGCCACCGCCGGUGGACACUGGGUUGGGUGGUGCAUGCCAACACCAGCAGGUGGCGGUUGGGGUGGGGGGGGGUUAGCAGGUCCCUGGGUCUCAUCGCCCACUCGUGGUCCACUCCCCAGGUGGGAGGCAGAGGAGGAUGUCCUCAUCAGCAUCCUGCUUGAGCAGGAGAAGAGCCACUUCUCACUAUGAAAGUACCUCGGGGGGAUUCCCGUUAAAUAAAACUGCUUGGCGAUGACCUAAUUUGUUCGUUCAAGAGGAUAAACUCUUCUUAUCCAUACAUUAUUAUUGUUGUUAUGGUUUCCGGCGUUAAAUUAUACAUAAAAGGCCCAAGCCUGUUUCAGAAAUAAAACAUUUUCAGAA